rnacentral:siRNA from 1 species
UUGGUGUGAUGAUGUGUC